rnacentral:ribozyme from 1 species
UGCCCAGCAACUCCUAUCCCUACCUCCUGGCCGGGGUACGAGCAAGUUCGCGGUCGUAUGCUGACAGGGAAGG